GAUGAACGCUGGCGGCGUGCCUAAUACAUGCAAGUCGAGCGAACGGACGAGAAGCUUGCUUCUCUGAUGUUAGCGGCGGACGGGUGAGUAACACGUGGAUAACCUACCUAUAAGACUGGGAUAACUUCGGGAAACCGGAGCUAAUACCGGAUAAUAUUUUGAACCGCAUGGUUCAAAAGUGAAAGACGGUCUUGCUGUCACUUAUAGAUGGAUCCGCGCUGCAUUAGCUAGUUGGUAAGGUAACGGCUUACCAAGGCAACGAUGCAUAGCCGACCUGAGAGGGUGAUCGGCCACACUGGAACUGAGACACGGUCCAGACUCCUACGGGAGGCAGCAGUAGGGAAUCUUCCGCAAUGGGCGAAAGCCUGACGGAGCAACGCCGCGUGAGUGAUGAAGGUAUUCGGAUCGUAAAACUCUGCUAUUAGGGAAGAACAUAUGUGUAAGUAACUGUGCACAUCUUGACGGUACCUAAUCAGAAAGCCACGGCUAACUACGUG
rnacentral:rRNA from 1 species